rnacentral:rRNA from 1 species
CGCGUGUACUGGUCCGGCCGGGCCUUUCCCUCUGUGGAACCCCAUGCCCUUCACUGGGUGUGGCGGGGAAACAGGACUUUUACUGUGAAAAAAUUAGAGUGCUCCAGGCAGGCCUAUGCUCGAAUACAUUAGCAUGGAAUAAUAGAAUAGGACGUGUGGUUCUAUUUUGUUGGUUUCUAGGACCGCCGUAAUGAUUAAUAGGGACAGUCGGGGGUAUCAGUAUUCAAUUGUCAGAGGUGAAAUUCUUGGAUUUAUUGAAGACUAACUACUGCGAAAGCAUUUGCCAAGGAUGUUUUCAUUAAUCAGGAACGAAAGUUAGGGGAUCGAAGACGAUCAGAUACCGUCGUAGUCUUAACCAUAAACUAUGCCGACUAGGGAUCGGACGGUGUUAUAUUUUGACCCGUUCGGCACCUUACGAGAAAUCAAAGUGCUUGGGCUCCAGGGGGAGUAUGGUCGCAAGGCUGAAACUUAAAGAAAUUGACGGAAGGGCACCACCAGGGGUGGAGCCUGCGGCUUAAUUUGACUCAACACGGGGAAACUCACCAGGUCCAGACACAAUGAGGAUUGACAGAUUGAGAGCUCCUUCUUGAUUUUGUGGGUGGUGGUGCGUGGCCGUUCUUAGUUGGUGGAGUGAUUUGUCUGCUUAAUUGCGAUAACGAACGAGACCUUAACCUGCUAAAUAGCCCGUAUUGCUUUGGCAGUACGCUGGCUUCUUAGAGGGACUAUCGG